rnacentral:rRNA from 1 species
CGGGACGGGUGAGUAACGCGUGGGUAACCUGCCUCAUACAGGGGGAUAACAGUUAAAAAUGGCUGCUAAUACCGCAUAAGCGCACAGGACCGCAUGGUCUGGUGUAGAAAACUCCGGUGGUAUGAGAUGACCGCGUCUGAUUAGCUAGUUGGAGGGGUAACGGCCCACCAAGGCGACGAUCAGUAGCCGGCCUGAGAGGGUGAACGGCCACAUUGGGACUGAGACACGGCCCAG